UACAGAGGUGGCAAGCGUUGUUCGGAAUUACUGGGCGUAAAGGGCGCGCAGGCGGUUCUGUUUGUCGAGUGUGAAAGCCCCGGGCUCAACCUGGGAACUGCGCUCGAAACGGCGGAACUAGAGUUCGGGAGAGGAGAGUGGAAUUCCUGGUGUAGCGGUGAAAUGCGCAGAUAUCGGGAGGAACACCAAUGGCGAAGGCAGCUCGCUGGGACGUGACUGACGCUGAGACGCGAAAGCGUGGGGAGCAAACAGG
rnacentral:rRNA from 1 species